GAAGGGCUGUGGCUCAGUGGUAGAGUUAUCUGCUUUGCAUGCAGGAGGUCCCCGGUUCAAUCCCCAGCAUCUUCA